rnacentral:rRNA from 1 species
AUUGAACGCUGGCGGCAGGCCUAACACAUGCAAGUCGAGCGGAUGAAGGGAGCUUGCUCCUGGAUUCAGAGGCGGACGGGAGAGUAAUGCCUAGGCAUCUGCCUGGUAGUGGGGGAUAACGUCCGGAACCGGGCGCUAAUACCGCAUACGGCCUGCGGGAGAAAGCGGGGGAUCUUCGGACCCCACGCUAACAGAUGAUCCUAGGUCGGCUUUGCUAGUUGGUGGGGUAAAGGCCUACUAAGGCGACUAUCCGUAACUGGUCGGAGAGGAUGAUCAGUCACACUGGAACUGAGACACGGUCCAGACUCCUACGGGAGGCAGCAGUGGGGAAUAUUGGACAAUGGGCGAAAGCCUGAUCCAGCCAUGCCGCGUGUGUGAAGAAGGUCUUCGGAUUGUAAAGCACUUUAAGUUGGGAGGAAGGGCAGUAAGUUAAUACCUUGCUGUUUUGACGUUACCAACAGAAUAAGCACCGGCUAACUUCGUG